rnacentral:rRNA from 1 species
UACAGAGGUCUCAAGCGUUGUUCGGAUUCAUUGAGCGUAAAGGGUGCGUAGGCGGCGCGGUAAGUCGGGUGUGAAAUCUUGGAGCUUAACUCCGAAACUGCAUUCGAUACUGCCGUGCUUGAGGACUGGAGAGGAGACUGGAAUUUACGGUGUAGCGGUGAAAUGCGUAGAUAUCGUAAGGAAGACCAGUGGCGAAGGCGGGUCUCUGGACAGUUCCUGACGCUGAGGCACGAAGGCCAGGGGAGCAAACGGG